GGUCAAGUGAAGAAGCGCAUACGGUGGAUGCCUUGGCAGUCAGAGGCGAUGAAAGACGUGGUAGCCUGCGAAAAGCUUCGGGGAGUCGGCAAACAGACUGUGAUCCGGAGAUGUCUGAAUGGGGGAACCCAGCCAUCAUAAGAUGGUUAUCUUGUACUGAAUACAUAGGUGCAAGAGGCGAACCAGGGGAACUGAAACAUCUAAGUACCCUGAGGAAAAGAAAUCAACCGAGAUUCCCUUAGUAGUGGCGAGCGAACGGGGACCAGCCCUUAAGUUGUAUUGAGAUUAGCGGAACGUUCUGGAAAGGACGGCCAUAGUGGGUGAUAGCCCUGUACGCGAAAAUCCCUUUGCAAUGAAAUCGAGUAGGACGGGGCACGAGAAACCUUGUCUGAAUAUGGGGGGACCAUCCUCCAAGGCUAAAUACUACUGACUGACCGAUAGUGAACCAGUACCGUGAGGGAAAGGCGAAAAGAACCGCGGAGAGCGGAGUGAAAUAGAUCCUGAAACCGUAUGCGUACAAGCAGUGGGAGCCCACUUUGUUGGGUGACUGCGUACCUUUUGUAUAAUGGGUCAGCGACUUAUUUUCAGUGGCGAGCUUAACCGAAUAGGGGAGGCGUAGCGAAAGCGAGUCUUAAUAGGGCGUCUAGUCGCUGGGAAUAGACCCGAAACCGGGCGAUCUAUCCAUGGGCAGGUUGAAGGUUGGGUAACACUAACUGGAGGACCGAACCGACUACCGUUGAAAAGUUAGCGGAUGACCUGUGGAUCGGAGUGAAAGGCUAAUCAAGCUCGGAGAUAGCUGGUUCUCCUCGAAAGCUAUUUAGGUAGCGCCUCAUGUAUCACUGUAGGGGGUAGAGCACUGUUUCGGCUAGGGGGUCAUCCCGACUUACCAAACCGAUGCAAACUCCGAAUACCUACAAGUGCCGAGCAUGGGAGACACACGGCGGGUGCUAACGUCCGUCGUGAAAAGGGAAACAACCCAGACCGUCAGCUAAGGUCCCAAAGUCAUGGUUAAGUGGGAAACGAUGUGGGAAGGCUUAGACAGCUAGGAGGUUGGCUUAGAAGCAGCCACCCUUUAAAGAAAGCGUAAUAGCUCACUAGUCGAGUCGGCCUGCGCGGAAGAUGUAACGGGGCUCAAACCAUGCACCGAAGCUACGGGUAUCAUCUUUUGAUGAUGCGGUAGAGGAGCGUUCUGUAAGCCUGUGAAGGUGAGUUGAGAAGCUUGCUGGAGGUAUCAGAAGUGCGAAUGCUGACAUGAGUAACGACAAUGGGUGUGAAAAACACCCACGCCGAAAGACCAAGGUUUCCUGCGCAACGUUAAUCGACGCAGGGUUAGUCGGCCCCUAAGGCGAGGCUGAAAAGCGUAGUCGAUGGAAAACAGGUUAAUAUUCCUGUACUUCUGGUUAUUGCGAUGGAGGGACGGAGAAGGCUAGGCCAGCCUGGCGUUGGUUGUCCAGGUUUAAGGUGGUAGGCUGAGAUCUUAGGUAAAUCCGGGAUUUCAAGGCCGAGAGCUGAUGACGAGUGUUCUUUAGAACACGAAGUGGUUGAUGCCAUGCUUCCAAGAAAAGCUUCUAAGCUUCAGGUAACCAGGAACCGUACCCCAAACCGACACAGGUGGUUGGGUAGAGAAUACCAAGGCGCUUGAGAGAACUCGGGUGAAGGAACUAGGCAAAAUGGCACCGUAACUUCGGGAGAAGGUGCGCCGGUGAGGGUGAAGCAUUUACUGCGUAAGCCCACGCCGGUCGAAGAUACCAGGCCGCUGCGACUGUUUAUUAAAAACACAGCACUCUGCAAACACGAAAGUGGACGUAUAGGGUGUGACGCCUGCCCGGUGCCGGAAGGUUAAUUGAUGGGGUUAGCGCAAGCGAAGCUCUUGAUCGAAGCCCCGGUAAACGGCGGCCGUAACUAUAACGGUCCUAAGGUAGCGAAAUUCCUUGUCGGGUAAGUUCCGACCUGCACGAAUGGCGUAACGAUGGCGGCGCUGUCUCCACCCGAGACUCAGUGAAAUUGAAAUCGCUGUGAAGAUGCAGUGUAUCCGCGGCUAGACGGAAAGACCCCGUGAACCUUUACUAUAGCUUUGCACUGGACUUUGAAUUUGCUUGUGUAGGAUAGGUGGGAGGCUUUGAAGCGUGGACGCCAGUCUGCGUGGAGCCAACCUUGAAAUACCACCCUGGCAACUUUGAGGUUCUAACUCAGGUCCGUUAUCCGGAUCGAGGACAGUGUAUGGUGGGUAGUUUGACUGGGGCGGUCUCCUCCUAAAGAGUAACGGAGGAGUACGAAGGUGCGCUCAGACCGGUCGGAAAUCGGUCGUAGAGUAUAAAGGCAAAAGCGCGCUUGACUGCGAGACAGACACGUCGAGCAGGUACGAAAGUAGGUCUUAGUGAUCCGGUGGUUCUGUAUGGAAGGGCCAUCGCUCAACGGAUAAAAGGUACUCCGGGGAUAACAGGCUGAUACCGCCCAAGAGUUCAUAUCGACGGCGGUGUUUGGCACCUCGAUGUCGGCUCAUCACAUCCUGGGGCUGAAGCCGGUCCCAAGGGUAUGGCUGUUCGCCAUUUAAAGUGGUACGCGAGCUGGGUUUAGAACGUCGUGAGACAGUUCGGUCCCUAUCUGCCGUGGACGUUUGAGAUUUGAGAGGGGCUGCUCCUAGUACGAGAGGACCGGAGUGGACGAACCUCUGGUGUUCCGGUUGUCACGCCAGUGGCAUUGCCGGGUAGCUAUGUUCGGAAAAGAUAACCGCUGAAAGCAUCUAAGCGGGAAACUUGCCUCAAGAUGAGAUCUCACUGGAACCUUGAGUUCCCUAAAGGGCCGUCGAAGACUACGACGUUGAUAGGUUGGGUGUGUAAGCGCUGUGAGGCGUUGAGCUAACCAAUACUAAUUGCCCGUGAGGCUUGACCAUAUAACACCC
rnacentral:rRNA from 2 species